rnacentral:rRNA from 1 species
GAGUUUGAUCCUGGCUCAGGACGAACGCUGGCGGCGUGCUUAACACAUGCAAGUCGAGCGGUAAGGCCCUUUCGGGGGUACACGAGCGGCGAACGGGUGAGUAACACGUGGGUAACCUGCCCUCAGCUCUGGGAUAAGCCCGGGAAACUGGGUCUAAUACCGGAUAUGACUCCGCAUCGCAUGGUGUGGGGUGGAAAGCCUUGUGCGGCUGAGGAUGGGCCCGCGGCCUAUCAGCUUGUUGGUGGGGUAGUGGCCUACCAAGGCGACGACGGGUAGCCGGCCUGAGAGGGCGACCGGCCACACUGGGACUGAGACACGGCCCAGACUCCUACGGGAGGCAGCAGUGGGGAAUAUUGCGCAAUGGGCGAAAGCCUGACGCAGCGACGCCGCGUGAGGGAUGACGGCCUUCGGGUUGUAAACCUCUUUCAGCUCCGACGAAGCCUUCGGGUGACGGUAGGGGCAGAAGAAGCACCGGCCAACUACGUGCCAGCAGCCGCGGUAAUACGUAGGGUGCAAGCGUUGUCCGGAAUUAUUGGGCGUAAAGAGCUCGUAGGCGGUUUGUCGCGUCGACUGUGAAAACUCAGGGGCUCAACUCCGAGCUUGCAGUUGAUACGGGCAGACUAGAGUUCGGCAGGGGAGACUGGAAUUCCUGGUGUAGCGGUGAAAUGCGCAGAUAUCAGGAGGAACACCGGUGGCGAAGGCGGGUCUCUGGGCCGAUACUGACGCUGAGGAGCGAAAGCGUGGGGAGCGAACAGGAUUAGAUACCCUGGUAGUCCACGCCGUAAACGUUGGGCGCUAGGUGUGGGGUCCCUUUCACGGGUUCCGUGCCGC